rnacentral:tRNA from 1 species
GCAUUGAUGGUGGAACUGGUAUACACACAGCACUUAAAAUGCUGCGCCACGAGGAUUGUGGGUUCGAAUCCCACUCGAUGCA